CAGUAGCCGCGGUAACACGGAGGGUGCAAGCGUUAAUCGGAAUUACUGGGCGUAAAGCGCACGCAGGCGGUCUGACAAGUCAGAUGUGAAAUCCCCGGGCUUAACCUGGGAACUGCAUUUGAAACUGUCAGGCUGGAGUCUUGUAGAGGGGGGUGGAAUUCCAGGUGUAGCGGUGAAAUGCGUAGAGAUCUGGAGGAAUACCGGUGGCGAAGGCGGCCCCCUGGACAAAGACUGACGCUCAGGUGCGAAAGCGUGGGGAGCAAACAGGAUUAGAGACCCCUGUAGUCCCUGUCUCUUAUAC
rnacentral:rRNA from 1 species